rnacentral:misc_RNA from 1 species
AAGUCGUAACAAGGUUUCCGUAGGUGAACCUGCGGAAGGAUCAUUAUAGAGUCAACCUUCCCUCCGGGGAGUGGUUCACGGGGUGAGGCCCGGGUUAAAACCUCGGGUCCCCGUCUCUUCACCCUUUGUCUACAUUCCCUUUGAUUGCUUUGGCGGGCCCUGGCCGGUCCACACCGACCGUCACGCCAGCCACGGGACUCGUUCCCCCGCCGGCGAGCGGCCCGCCAGAGACCCCUUCCACUCCUGAUUUUACCAUGUGGUCUGAGCAAAAACUAAUAAUCAAA